AGUAAAAAUAACAAAUAAAAAACAAACAUAUAGAAAAAGUAUUGGAGAAGUGAUACUUAUAUUGGCUAACAAUAAAAAUACUUUGCAAGGUUUCAGAGCACCAGGUUUUUGUUUGUGAUAUUGGUGAGCGUUAAUUCGGUUGGAAGGGGAAAUCAGUUGGAAGGACUGCAGGUUGUGAGGUCUGGCUAGUAUGCAGCAGAUACAUAACCAAGAAGGCUAAUUUUUAGUUUAACUAAAUCGUGCCGAACUUCUGGGAUGAACUGCCUAGCAGUUAAUGAUGACAGUUCUAUUGGAAGGAGGAAUUAAUAGGAUGGAUUGCUGCUGGUUGUGCGGUCUGGCUAGUAUCCAGCAUAAGACAGUACAUACCCAGUAAUGGCAGGAAAGUGAGAUACGGGAAUAUGUCAGCUGCUGCUGAACAAAGCUUGGCUAGGAAAGACUGGUUCAUUCAAGAAGAAAAGGACAAAGCCCCAGACAGGCCCUGGGUGUGAAUCUCCAGACUUCUGUGAAUCUCCAGACUUCUCCUGAUUCAUGGCUGCUCUUGGAAAGGACGAGCCUAUGGACCUCCUACAUAAUCUGACAGUUCGAUAACUAGGAGGAGCUGACACCCACAGCAAAGUUUCGGCAAAACGUUUCAGUGUUACGCAACAUAUGCAACAAACACAUGAAAGGAAACUACAAAUGUUAUCUGUAAUUAAGAAUGCCUUAUUUUUGUCCAUAAAUAAAAUAAUUAUUUUCAAA